ACUUACCGGGCGCCCAUCCCGCUUAAAAUUCAUCUCAAGUCAGGCCCCCCCUGGGCCCCCUCCAGGAAAAAAUCCUAGUUACGCCAAUGUCAACAACCCGUUUCAUUCAUAACAACGCAACGUAACGGCUGCAACACAGCACUCUGUCAUCGAUAGGCCCAAAUGGCCCAAAUCGUUGGCGCUGUGGGACCUCUUCAGGUCCUCACAAAGAGUGUCCGUCGGUCGCGGUGGCGGUGGUAGUAAUCGCUCAGCGCGACCAGGAAGAGAUAUGGGCAAACGUCGAGAUCGCGAACCCUCGGCAGGGGGUACACGAUCGAGUUUCAAUUCAAUGAAUGAAAGCCGAGUCAACCAGGCGGUGCAGCCAACGUUGUUGUUUGGCUUGAAAUGCUGGCCAAUUUUCGGCGGAAACAGGAUUUCUAUUUUUAUCGGAUUGGGGGCUCCUUUUGCGACCCAUUCAGUUGGCGGCUGUUUGAUGCAGUCACGAGGUUUGUGCACCGAGUAUUUUAAGAGUGAUGGCGCGAACUUCGAGUGUCGCAAGGAAACAGAUCGUCAGCAACUGUCACGCAGUUGUCUUGGUCGGGUUCUGCCACCGGUGUCUGCGGUAGUAGCGUUGGGGUACGACGUUCAUAUCGGAUGGGAGAUUGAUGGAUGUUUGCGACCGGGUUCUGCCUCGAGUGAGUGACAGACGAUAUAAAAGCAUGUUUUGAAGCAGACUUGACCAUAUUUGAACAUGGAGAAAAUCGGAUUCGUUCUGCUUCGUAUGGUCGUUCAUUCAGAAACUAGUACCGGACAAGGUUGCUAGAAUCGACAACAGUCAAGUAAGGGAUAUCUUUGAAAUGACUUCCAGAUGUAAAACAGCCUGCAAGAUACAUACAAAUAGUUUAUAUACCGCCCCCUUAAUGCUAGAACUAGGUAACUGGUUUUGCAAAAUUUCGAGAGUUUUGUUUAUAUCUGAACAUACACCACAAUAAACAAAAGUUUAUCCAUUGGAACUACGAAAACACAUAAUGAUUCAUCUUUUAAGACCAACAAAAUGCUUGUUAUAUACCAGGAUUAGUUUUACCAGCCAUUUUUAUCCGCACUUCCAAAAACGAGUUACCUAGUUCUAGCAUUAAGGGGGCGAUAUAUUCUAUAACAGUUUAACAAUCCGAAGGAUGAAAACAUUAAAACAAUUCAGCACAAACACCAACAGAAAUUUGUUACGCUUAGCUCUAAAAAAACAACAAAUGCAGCGUGGAAUGCGUAAUGUCUUCAAAUUAAAUUUCAUGAGGAUCUAUCUCUUCUACAUUGCCCGUGUAGCUGCCGGCUUAGAAUAGCACUACGGACCACCUGUUCCGGGGACAAAAGUCCACCAAACAGGUAACCCCAAUCCAAGGUGUCAGACGGUCGACCCGUGCUGAUGGAUGAAUGGUUGAGGGGGUUUAAAAGAUGCUCGAUCUUUAACGGAACCCGUAAAGUGGGCAGAUCAACUUUUCGGGUUGCGUUACGGUUAAAUUUCUACCGAACCGAACCCUAGUGAGAUCCGGUUUGUCAAGCUGGCGUAAUGUCUUUGACUAAUAACCCAAGUAAUAAUGAAUGCUGAACAGUGAGAGUAUUAGCUGAACAAUAGCUGGUUGAUGGUGUCAAUGGCUGAACACAAUGACAGCUGAAUAUUGGUCUGAAGUAUGGUUUGUUCAACCUCUUUAAUCAGCAAUACAUAGAUGGCUGAAUAUCAAGUUGAAUAGAAUUUUAUCCAUCUGGGUCGCCAGCUUUAAAACAUACACUAAUAUGCAGAACUAAUUAUCUAUUGUUCAACCUUUAAUCAAAUAUAUUUUGACAGAUGAGCCAAGCAUGUUUUCGUGAAGUCCACAUCGCUUCUUCAGCCUCAAUACAGACUAAGUUCAACUUAUGUUCUUGACUAUUCAGACACAACAAGUAAUGCUCUUGUUUUCGAGGAUAAGUAUAUAUGAUUACUGAUUAAGCGCAUAUUAAGCCUUAAAUCAGCCUUCCAAUGAACCACAAAUCAGCUCAAGGUUGAAUAAAAUAACCAACAUUAGAUGUUUAGGAGCUGAAUAAAGGAUUGUACCUCUUGUGCUCAGUUUUUGUUCAAAUGAAGGCUGAUUUUAAAUAGUAGGAGAAAUGUUUGUACAGCAUCAAAUUGUUACCUGGGAAGGAUUCAUGGUGGAAAGUUCUUGUUACUGGUAACAGUUCCUAAAGUUUCAUUUACACUGCCUUGCUGAUAGUUAAAGACUCAGAAUUUUCCCAACCGGGACUAUACUUGAUGUUAGGAAAACAAACAUGCUUUACUUCUCUAAUUGCGUACUAACCUAUUAAGGACUGAUAAAUGCUGGAAAUUCAAGGACGCACGUGUAUUUUUAUUGCAGAAAACAUUCUCCAAUUUGACAGAGUUUUGCAACUAGCCGAAAGCCCGGGGUUUUCCUUUGUUAUCCUGGGCCUAAACAUUCAUGAGGCUAGAGCUCCGAUGCAUGGAUAAAUAUCAGUACUAUUAUUUUAUGCUCUCAAAAAUCAAAUCGAUUGUGUUUGAUUAGGGGUGUUCUUUCCUUGGGAUUUAAAUACCUGUGAAAACGGGACCUUUUCAUCGCAUUCGGUUUCUUGAACCUCUGAGGUAAUGAAACAAGAACUGUACAGAAAUCGAUCUUGCCUCUCAAUGACAUUGGAGUAGUACGACAUGCACUAAACACAAAAGAUCAAAAUCCUGGUCGCAAAGGCCCAUCCGAACUGAAAAAAAAAUGUCUUCUUCAUGGUAUCUGACAUAGAUAAUUCUCUCAGGUUAUAAUCCUCUCGUGUACGCUUCACCAUUGACAGGUUCUCUGAGACACCAUAUGUAUAUAAAACAAGCUAUUUAUGGAUAUCCGAUCAACUUCGGUUUACAUAUAAUUCUCGCCUUUUUAACAAGUGUAGAAUUAGCUUAAGCUUACACAAUAAUAAAAAUUAAAAAAAAAACAUUUUUAACAAAAAAUUGUAAUUGGAAACUUGGUACGUAGCUCUGAUGAUCUUUAAAUUUCAUCGGGAGCACCCGCAUACUCGCCGAUCUACUGAAAGACUGCGGGCUCAGCAUCGUAGCGCUGCGAGAGGUUUUUUGAACAGAAUCCAUAGUGUGAAGGCUUAGAGGCAAUCAUGUCAUCUACCAGCUAAUGUGCAGGUUAAGGAUCAUGAGCUGAUUCUUAAACUUCAGCAUAAUCAACACGCACGCCCUCACUUCGGAAGCACUGAUGCUGUCAAGGACGCAUUCUACGCGUAGCUCACAACAUCAAGAUCAAUAACAUAGAAGAUCUAAACGCUCAGUUAGGCCAAGAGGAGUAAUUCAGACCGACGAUUGGGAAGUUCAGCGCCCCCCAGCUGACGAACGAAAAUGGCCUACGACUCAUCGAUUCCACCGACUCUAAGAACAUGGCCACUCCAACACAGCUUCCCUUCGUUACAACGGGAGAUCACCACAUCAAACGGAAUCGCAAAUUGCCCAUUUUCCGAUCGACGCACGGCACUUCUCCGACAGUAUCUGGUUCAACUGUGCCCAAAACUAUUUGUCAUCAACAAAGUAUGGUACUGGUGACCACCACAGUACAACCUUGUGCGACUGAUGCCUCAGCAUACGCGCAGAAUCUCGGGACGGCUUUGUCAGUCAAAGGCGAGCUCGAUGUUCUCUCUCUGGAGUACAGUAGAGCGGAGUUGACGGAACGAAUUGUUCGAUGAGGAUACAGAACGAUUUUUGAGGAGACGAAUGCAGCGCGGUCGGUAAUGCUGCAGCAUGGAACCCGGCAGAACUAGGGCAGAUACAAACAGAAGCGGAAACAGCAGACCUGCCUCUUUCGGGAGAAGAAGCGCCGUCUGAGCACGAGGAAGUAGAACUGCAUUGCCGUUCUCAAGAAACACGGAAGUUCUACCAGAAGUUCAAUGCAUCCCGCAAAAGCUUCGUGCCGCGUGGCGAAUUCUGCAAGGAUAAGAAUGGAAACCUCUUAACCGACGAAUGUGAGGGGAUUGAUAGAUGGAAGCAGCACUGCGAUGUCCACCUGCAUAGCGAGGAGCACGUAGGCACGGGAGAUCAAGGCAACGGGGGAAACGACAUCGUCAGCGCAGCCAAGAGGACAGAAUUUCUCAUGCUGAGGUAAGUUAAGGAUGGGAUGCCAUUUAUCAGCUCAAAACCAACAAAGCAGCUAGAAAGGAUUGUGUCGCAGCUGCACUUAUCAAGAUAGGCCCGGAAAAAAUGGUCACCUGUCUUCACCGGGAAACUGAACAGCUAUCGGAGGAGUGGCCCAUCCACAAGAAUUGCGACCAUUUGGAAAGUGAGAACUUCAGAGCAAUCAUUAUUUUGAAUGCCGCCUACAGUGCUAUCCCAGGCAAACUUCCGUCGUCUGUCACCUACAACGAAUGAGUUCGUGGGAUGUUAUAAAACCGGCUUCAUCGAUGGCCGACCGACAACGGCCCAUAGUAUUGUGGCGUACUAAUGAUGAUUACGUUUUAUCUUAAAUAUAUCUAUCUAUCUAUCUAUCUAUCUAUCUAUCUAUCUAUCUAUCUAUCUAUAUUUAUAUGAAAAUGAGUUUGAAGUUGCUUUGAGGCAACAAAACUCAAGAACGGAUGAACUGAUCAGCAUGACUCAUGAACGGUUCGAUUCGUAUUAGUGGUGGCUGUGUUUAUAAGUAAUAAAAGUUACGAAAAUGAACAAAAAAUAAGAACAUUUCGAAAAAAAAUGUUUUUUUAUGACCAGGGAAGAAAAUCAACACGAUCGAAAUAAAACUAAUGUAACGAGCUAAGCAGUUGUCAAACCACCACAGCUUGACAAGACAAAGUUUGCAGGGACAGCUAGUUAUCAAUAAAUAUAUGCAUGACCAGUGAUCUGUUGAUGUUUUAUAAUACCGGUGUGUACUAAUGACAUUCAUAGAUCUCGUAGAACCUCAACAAGCCUAUGAGUUUGUAUGGGCACAUACCGCAUGUAGACACUUCAGAAGGAUGACCAACUCUGUUUGCAGGUCUGAAGGCCUGCCUUCAUUUCAACGAGUUCUUGGGAAAUCCUGAAGACCGCUAGAGUGAAUGAAGAUUCGAGUGCCGACAAAAAACCAUGUUAACAAAACCGAACAUCUCCUGUCCUUUCCCAAAUGAUUGACAGCCAUCCCUGCAACGCCUCUCUAAAGGAUUAUCGCGCAAUACUUAACUAUCCGAAUUCGAAAUUCACCAAAUGAAGUUUCUCUAUGUCAAACAUUGAUAACAAACCGAUCGGUUUUGGUACCGAAUCUAAUCAACCAAGCCACCACGUUCGAGGAAUCGCUCGCUCAAUGUGGCUACAGCAGCGACGAUGAUGAUGAUAAAUAACCUCCCGAUGUUGUCCGCUAUCGGUGAUCGUAAAUCACUUAAAGGGCGGUGUCCAAACUUUGCAAAACACCUUCCAGCGCAGCGAAGUGGUGCGUUGAACCGCGCAAAGUUCCGAAUUUGCGUGGAUAACAAAAUUCGAUCGGGGGUUGCGUUGCGUUGUUUGGCGACAACCUGGGUUGCUGUGUAAUUUUAAGGAUUAAGUAUUUAUUUACACUUUCCUUAUGUGGAGCAAUUUUCCGCGGAACGUCCAAUAAAGUUGAAGUAUUUAUGACCAAAGCUCAUUAGGACACGAGAGAGUGAGAGGUUGAACCGCUGCUGGCUGGACGCCCAACGAUGUUCUACGACGCGCGUGAAACCAUUUUGAACCACCAAUUCCUUUGAUAAAGGUGUCGAAAACUGGUUAACGAGAAGCGUUUUAAUUGUGAUUGGUUUUUUGAGCUCGCGUGGAAACCCGGCUGUCGAGUGGCCAUAAACUGCCGAAAAAUAUGCCGCAGAGGAUGGCGGGGACGCCGGGGCGAGAAGUGUAUUGGUUCAUGAAUAAUUCAUACGUAAAGGCGUACAAACGAUAUCCGUUGUGUGGCUGUGAGUGCGGCGGAUGCAGAUUUCUACAGAAACGAAAAAAAUCCGCUUCUGGUUGUGAAAGAUAGAAGGCAACGUCAAAAGUUCCAUGUGUGCGGAAAGUAUAUGACGCUAUGAUGAACCGUACGGCGGCUGAUAAAUCUGUCGGAUUCCGUCGCAGUCGGUGGGCGUAUCGAUAUGGAAGACACGGUUUCGACACACAACAGCUUGACAUGUGGCGAAUAGUGAUGCAUCGGGAACCAACGGUGGUGUACGAGGUCGAGGAGUGUUUCGAUUUGACGUAUGUAUGCGAAAUCUUCAAAAAUUUUGUAAAUGUACAUAUUGGCAAUAAUAUGUUCUGUAUAGUGCGAUCUGAGCUUCGUCGCUUUUAAAAACUUAGCAUUUACAUUACUGCUAAUAUUAAAAUAGCCAUUUGUAACGUAGGCUCGUGAUUUCCAUAGGUGGGAUAGCCUUUUCUAUGUUAUAGGCUCUAGUAUGCUUCAGUUCCAGAUGGAUCUUUCUAACAGUAUUUUUAAAAGAUAUUUGAAGCUUCUGUAAAAACAACUUCUACAGAAAAUUCCUUAAAGGGGCUUUUCAAAACCGACAAUGUCUGGAAACUCAGGAAGAUUUUUUGAAAUACACUGUGAAGGAAUGUAAAGGAAUAUCUGGAAAAAUUUCUGAAUCAAUAUCUAGAGGACUUAUAAGGAUUUCCUGGACGAAUUUCCGGAGCCAUCCCUGGAGGAAUUUCUAAAAAAAACUUGGAGAAAGUUCUGAAGUAAUCCGUACACGAUUUUCUCGAAGAAUACUUUAUGAAAUGUUAGAAAAAAAACCUCAAUAGAGUUUCUAUAGGAAUUCCUGGGGGAUUUUUGAAAUAAUUUGUGGAAGACUAAAACACAUUUUUUGAAGGAAUCAUUGAAGCGUUUCGUGAAGAAAUCCGUGAAAAGUGUCUGAAAAUAUAUCUAGAGGAUGUUUUGAUGGAAUUCCUGGACAAUUAUGUCAAACUGAAGGAAUUUCCCUAAAAAAUAAAUUUAACGUGUUCGAAAUCGAGUUUGCCCUGUAUUCCACAUCAGGAAGUGCGUUGAUGAUCGAUCAUCCUACAUCACGCAGCUCGGCUGGAUCAUCAAACGGUGUAUGUGUUCGAUAUUCGGCGUUUGGUGCCAAGAAUGCUGGUGCCAAAAGCUGUCCAAAUUGGCGUCGAUUCAAUCAUCUGCUUGAGCCAUCCAUCGCCGCCGCCAUUCGUAUCAGCUGGCUACGCAAUCUCACCGCUACAACAUGAUAUCGAUAGCAAUCAAUCAAAACGAACUCGAACACACCAGCAGCACACGGCCGGCUGAAUCUUCACGCAACCAUCUCACUCGCAUUGGAGAGGCUACGUCAAAAAAUUUUGAUGAAUUUUCCGCUAAUUAGUUGGUUGCCCGCGAUCCAGGUUGAAGAAAGUCGAGCUGUUUUAGUAACCUCAAUUUUAUCAGCGCCCGAGGAACGCCCGCUCCUGGAAUCGUUUCAGUCAGUGAUAUCGUUAUCGUCCCAUCAUCGCAUCGUUCGUCCGUAUCACCAGCGCGCAACACCUUGAGAGAGGGAGUGUUCGGUUGAAUGAUGAUAACGAAACGACCCCGUUAUCAGACCAUGUGUAGGUAUAAUGUGCGGCAUGGUCGAUGGAUGGGCUCGAAGAAGUGUGUGAUCAUCCAUCGACAAUAACAAUUCGUGGAAACGAUUACAGCAACCUGGGUGUGGAGUGGUUCCGUGAUAAACCCGGCUUGGGUCGCCGACUAGGAGGAUGUACCAAAGUUAAGCAACAACAACAACAUAUUCAGCAAGUCCUAACACAAGUUUAAAAAAUCAAAUUCAAAACUUCAGAUUGUAAACAAACUACAUCAAUGGCUUUUGUAAUAUAUCUAUAAACGUUGUGACACGAAAGUCUUUGUCAUAAUUUGGCAUUUUUAUCACAUUUAGCUUCUGUUAAUCCAAUAGCCUCAUUGGUAAAGCGACUGGUCUGUUUUGAAGCAAGUGAUGGGUUCUAAUCCUAAACGAGCAUAACUCCGUAAGUUUUUUUUUAACAUCGGAAGUACUCAACAGUAAGUCAAAAGUUAUAGGUUUAUCAUUCGUUUAACCAGAUUUCAAUAAACCGUUUCCUUUUUCCACAUACUCGGGCUAGUACUCGACCAGGAUUUGCGCCGAGAAGGGAAAACCCACAGUUGACCAACCUGCCGUGUGUCGUUUCAAACCGUAAACACCCUUAACCAUCAUCGUGAGUUCAACCUUAUCAACCACCAACCCGCAAUAGGUUCGAAACUCAAUCGUUCACGCAAGCGUAAACAUCCAGAUAGCUUGCCCAAACUACCUUUCAUUCUGUUCUACCGAGCCAUUGCAUCGGCGGCCAGCCACUCAUUCUGCAUGAUGUGAGGAAAUGCGAGUUGAAAAAGCUAUGUAAACAAAUAAUAAUAUUUAUACUGUUACCCUCUCCCGCCCCCACCACUUCCAAAUUCAAACGAGGAAUCGGUUGGCUGGAAGUGAGACCGCGGCGUUGCUUCCUCUCGUGGUUCGCUCUCUCAGCACGAUCGUCGUAGUUGUUGAUUAAACAACAAACUGAAUGGGAAUAAAUAGCAGACCAUCAUAGCCCCGCUUCAGAGCAGAGCAACGUGCGCGGUGUGUACCCCACCCAACCAUAGAGGUACUAGUCCUAGUAUAGAGAUAAGGUCGUGUUUGGUUUGUUUGGUGCGGUGUCUGCCUGCGACGAACUACAAGAAGAGCAGCACCAGCAAAACUUGUUCAAACAUAAACUGCGCUGGAUGACACUGUUGCAUUUCCUUGCUCAAAUGUUCAGAUAUCGGGAUCGAGAGGAUACCAAUUGUUUUGUGAAGGCUGGCAACAAUCUUGGAGUGGAAAUUGUUAUCUGAACUUUUCUGAAGUGCACUAUCAUUGGAAAUAGUCACGUGUUUCGACCAAACACUUGGUAAAUUUAGUCGUUUCUAGGGAAUUUCAUUCCGAUGCCGCUGACAGUUAGAUUUUCACGAUGGGUGAGCUCGUUUUAUGCUAUUGUACAAUACAGGCAUACCUCGAUAGUACGUACACCACCGCUUCGUUUAGUGUACGUACUAUCGAAUCACAAAUUUUUAUUUUAAAUUUCAUUUUCAAAUCAAAGAAUGUUAUUUCCAGAACGUCAGGAUUGCCAAAAAAUUACAUGUGGCCUGAGGGUCCGUUUAUUAAUUACGUAAUUUUGCCUGUUUAGGAUCCUAUCUUUAUUGUAAAAAUCUACUUGUACUCUGGGGUUGCUUCGUAGAGGCAUCUCGUCUCUGGGAAUUCAUAUUGAUUUUAUUUGAAUUAUCUUUUAGAAUUGAAUGGUUCUGGUGUAGAUAUAAUUAAAUCGAUCUAGAUCAGUUAUAUCUUGUUAAAGAAACAUUCUAGAAGCACCGUAAAAUGGGGUGUUGAGGGACGGAAAUUUUUUUCGUUCUCAUUAAUUCAUGGGUUCUACUUCUUAAAACUUUCAGGAAAAGCAGUCCGAUCAUUGUCUUGCUGCCUGCUACGCGUAUAGAUUACAAAAUUUGACGAUUUUUUGGAGAAAUUGGAGAUAUUUAACAAAAUGUGCAAUUUUUUGGAAAAUAUGAAAAUGGGGUGUUAAGGAAUUUAAGGGAAUGAAUGUAAAAGUUCUCAUAUUUCAAAGAAAGAUAAAAAUUGAUUAAUUGUAAACAGUGACUGUAAUAUUUCUUGAACAUCACCGAAAAAGAUUAUAAUAGUCCUGAAGGUGCAGGGACAGUUUCAUUGCCAUCUACCUUUGUAUAUGACUUUUUUUUUUUGUUAAAGUUUCGAAAUCCGAAAAAAUACCGUCAGUUGUACCUGAGUGGCUUCAGUUUUUAACGAACACAUUAUUCAUACAUAGUUACAAUUUACAGUAACCAAAUUGAAUAGUUCAGACUGAUCAAUGGGUUGUAAACUAAGGAUGUGUAUUUACAGUUUUUUGAUCACUUUAAAACUCAUUUAUAUUAAAAUGGGUCAUCUUAGCAUUAUUAGAUGACCCUGGGUGUUAACGGUGUAUUCAAUGCUGAUAUUUCUACUUGGAGCAUCGCUGAUAGGUCGUAUUAUAGAUUCUGAGAUAUUUUAGCGGCCAUGAGUCAUCUUCAUCAAUAUUUUCUGUGGAGCGGACCUGGUGUGAUGGCUAGAACACUUGACUAUCACGCCGAGGACCUGGGAUCGAAUUUCACUCCCGACAAACUCGCAAAAUGUGAGUUCUUCCUUCGGAAGGGAAGUAAAGCGUGGGUCCCGACAUGAACUAGCCUUGGGCUGGAAAUCUCGUUAAUACAGAAUAGAAAAAAUACUUUCUUUUUCAAGAGUUAGUGGCAGUAUGGUUUACAUAAUAUAUGGAUCAAGUGAGCAUAUUCCACAUUUUCAAAAAGCUGUCACGUUCCAGCGCCAACCAUAAAUAAUAUUUAACUAAUAAAACAGACGGAAAAUCUACGUUAAAACGUAAAUAUACACCUAAAGACCACAAACUUCUGCAAAGAGGGGACUACUGCGGCAUUGAGUAAUAAAUAUUUGACCGUUUUUCUAAUUAUAUGUAUCAAUCUAAUACUUGUUUCUCAUGAUCUAUAUUGUAUUAGUUGUUAGCAACUGUUGGGAUGUCUAUGACCCAAAAUUAAAUCCGUAAUACGUCAUUCAGAAUAGUAACUGUUAUACAAUGAAUCAAUCGCCUCAAAACAUCAUGAUACAAAUAAAAAAGUUAUAUGAGAAAUUCAAUCCCCUAACACCCCACCAGUUUAUGAAAUUAAUCUUUUUUCACAAAAAAUGUUGGUGUUCGAAAACCACAUUAGUUACAACAAAUAUUUUACCCUAGUUUCAUUAAAAAUGAGUUGUAGAACACCUUACGAUUACUCACAUAUUUUUUCCUAAUAAUAUUUCUGGCCUCACAAAUGAAUGUUUCAAUGGUAGCGAAAUUGAGAAAAAGCAAUGUCGUUCUAUUUUUGAUGUCUAGUGUCCAGUUAAAAACGUAUUUACAUGAGUGGUAAUCCUUAUAAUAUGCCUUUAUUUCCAACACACAUUUGAGGCGAAUUCAGAAUAAGUAAAUAUAUUUUUAUACGGUUUAGCAAUUUUUCAAAGUAGUGUGUGAAGAUGAAUCCCUUAACACCCGAUGAGUUCUUAACACCCCAUUUCACGGUAUUUUCUCCUGCAAUAUUUAUUGCCGUGAUAUUUUCAAAAUCGUCUGAACAUUGCUCCUUCUAGGACACCUUCAAGAGCAGGGAUGGAAACACUCACUUGCAAAGAGUUAAACUCACUUGCUUUUUUCUCAGCUCAGAAACGUGCAAUUAAGAAACGAUGUAUGGAUGGACGACUUUUGCCUUGUGGUUUUGUCUAAAACAUCGCCGAACAGAGUAGGGGUCGCACACGAUCCCAAAGUCAUGACAAAGCUGUGAAAGCGACUCUCCACGAGGUGAGUGUAAAUUACAUUCACCUCGUGGAGAGUUGCCUUCGCAGCUCCCUCACGACUUCGGUAUGCGUGUGCGAUCCCUUCUCUGUUCGGCAAACUUUUAGACAAAAUCACAAGGCAAAAGUUGUCCAUUCAUCGUUUUUUGAUUGCACGCUUCUGAGCUGAGAAAAUAGCAAGUGAGUGUAAAUCUUUGCAAAUGAGUGUUUCCAUCCUUGUCCAAGAGUUUAAUUUUUUACGAGAUGGGAAUCCCGGAAUUCUUGGAGGAAUUCAAGGAAAAAUUAUUUGAUGAAUAUUAGAAAGAAUUUCUGUAGGAAUCUCGGAAUGAAUUUCUGGAGGAAUCUUGGAAUGAAUUCAUGGAGAAAUACCGGAACGAAAUUCCUGGAGGUAUUCAGGAAGGAAUUCCUGAAGAAAUCCUGGAAGUCCCGAAAGUAUUACAGAAGAAAUUCUUGGUGAAGUUUCGGAAGGAAUCUUUGGAGAAAUCUCUGAAAGAGACCCUGGAAUCUCAUUAGGAAUCGCAGAAGAAACUCCUGGAAGAAUCCCUAAGGAAUCCCAGAAAGAAUUUCUGGAGAAAUCAUGGAACCAACCUAAAGGAAUUUCGGAACUGAAAGAAACUUGAAACUUGAAGAAAUUCCUAAAGCAAGCGGGAAAGCGAAAUGUCUUUCCCCGAAUCCCACAAUUCGGGUUCACCCAGAAACAACUGAAUUGGUACAGCCUAUAGGACAAUGCAAGCCGCGGUUGCUAAAGAAUUUUUUUCUAAGUUUUUGAUGUUUUGUGACCUUUUUGUUUACGUUCGGACUUCUAGUGAUUUCUUCCAGAAUUUCUCAAGAAGUCCCCGGAAUCCUCCAGGAAUUUCAUCUGAGAUUCUCCGAAUAGUUUCUUCUAGAAUAUCUCUGGAUUUAUUUUUUUGGGCUUCCAGAUAGUAUUCCUGGAAAUUCUAGCAACUUCACCCAGAAUUUCAUUAGGAGUUCUUUCGGUGUAUUAGAAAUUUUUACCGAGAUUCCUUUAAAAACUCCUUGCAACUAUCCAGGAUUUAUUCCUUGAAUUUAAUAAGAGAUUCUUCGAGCUUCUUCUAGGAAUUCUUUCAGAAACUGAUUCCGGGAUUUCUUCGAGAUUUUUUUCCAGGAAUCAUCUAGGGACUCUCUUUUGGUUUCUACCAAGGGCUCCGUCAGGAAUUCCUGCAGACCCUUCUGGAAUUUUUUCAGAUGUUCGUAAUGGAGAUCCUCCUGGAGUUCAUUACGAAUUUUUGGAGUAUUUUGUUUAUGGAAAUCCUCAUGUAGUUUCUGUAGGAUUUUCUUGAAUAAACACAGGAAAAGCAAUUUAGUUAUAGCUCCCUCCUAGAGGAAUUCUGCAAUAAGUUUGUGGAGGAACCACGGGAGGAAUUUUUUUUAAAGCGAUAGUCCGAAUCGUAAACAACAAAGCCACGAAACGUCAAAAACCAAGAACAUUUUCCUUAGCAACCGCGGCUUGCAGUGCCCUACGGUACUCAAAGAAGUUUAAUUUUCCGAACUCAUGAAAAACUGUCAAACAUUUUAUACGUAUCGCAAAAAAAGUUAAUUGCUGGAAAACGAAAAAAAACAA